rnacentral:lncRNA from 12 species
GCAUGUCAAGGAGAAGAAAAUGAAGAGAAAUCGCAGGUCUUGGUUCUCAUACCAGUAAGAUUUCCAAACUUGUCCUUUCCAAUUCCUGCCCUCUCUGAGCAAAAGGUCCUUUGAGUAAUAAUAGAAAGAGCAUUGUGGUGAAACUGCAUUCCAGAAUGUUCUAACCCAUAAGAGUGAGAUGUCAAAAAAAAAAAAAAAAAAAAAGAGCACAUGGAGAGAAAACCAAGUCAGUUAUCAGAUUGAGCUGACCUAGCCCAUCUCUUUCCUAACUUUCAGUAUGGAAAAUACUGGGCUAUUUGGACCUUUCAUUUAGGAAAGCAAUGGUUAAACAGAGAAGGAGAAUAACAAUUAAGGAGUUGCCUCUAUGCAAGAGAUUGCUUUGAGAACUUCCAAAUGGCUCCUUCCUAUAGGACAGAGAGGGAAACAAGCUCUACACUCUCACUAGCAAACUCAAAGAUCCAGGACUUCCUGGGAAUUGAGACAUAA